GAGGAUAAUAUGUUACUUGCAUGAUUGGCCGAGGCUUGAGAGAGAGAAGGGCUCUUGAUAGGAGCAAGAAGUUGCUAACACUGUUCUUGGAUAAUCGGCAGUUGUGAAGCAUCAGAAGGAUAGGCCCUGGUGGCUACCUAGUUGGCCGAGCGUUGAGAAUUAAUCUUGGUGUGAUAGCCUGGAGGGUACCCAUGAAGUUUGUAGCAUUUAUCAAUAGUGUGUUUAACGAUGUUGCAAUGAGAGCAUGUUGGAUGCUCACGACGAAAAAAGUUGGAGCUAUUUUUCUUGACGUUUGACCGAGGAGGUUGUUGAGCAGUAUGUGUCUUGCUGACCAAGGCAGUGGAUUUAAGGUCGAGGGACGGUGUAACAGUGAUAUCUCGUUGUUUUUCUUCUUGAAUAAUGAGGGCAAAGACUUCAUUAAUGGGCGGCAAGGGGUCCAUAAGAAGAAUCUGACCUUAUAUUAGAGAAAGAGUCAUUGAGACCCAUUAAAAAAUGGAGAACAUACUCCUAUUGUUGGUAAUCGACCAAUUGCUUGAAAGCGCCACAUGAACAAUCGGGUAGAGGUCAAAAGUUGAGCAACUCAUCCCAAUAGCUUUUGAGUUUGGUGAAAUAGGUACUUACAGAAUUUUGAUUUUGAGUAAGAGAGGAAAUUGCUUUCUUUAGUUGAAAAAUGCGAGGACCAUUGCUAUGGGAGAACCGGUCUUUGAGAUCAAGCCACAUGUCACGAGCAUUGUCGAUGUAGAUCACGCUAGCACUCAGGUCUUUGGAGAUAGAAUUGAUGAUCCAAGAGAGGACCAUGUGGUUGCAACGAACCCAUGACAUAUACAGGGAUCAGUCGGGCUUGGCUUGGGAAGAGACCCAUCAAUGAACUCUAUUUUGUGCUUGGCACUUAAUGCCAUAUAAAUGGAACAGCUCUAGGUGGGGUAGUUAUCACCAUCAAGGGGUUGCAAGACCAAUAUGGUGCCUGGGCUAUCACCAUCAUGGAGAAAAUAUGGGCUGGAAUGAUCAGCAGCUGUAUGGAGCAUGGAAGAAGAGGCACUCGAGAUAGAACUCAAAGAUGAUGCCAUGAAAAAAAAAAAUAAAAUUGCUCUGAUACCAUGACAAAAUAUGAAGAAAACCAAGAUUGGAGGAAAGAUGCUCCGUGCCUUGUUAUUGUAUUGUUGUAUGCUUUGUCUAUAUAUACAAGAAUUUGAAAUAAUCAAUGGCUACAAUUAAGGACUAGCAAAAAAAAGGAGCAAAAGAAAGAAAGAGCUAAAUAGGGAAAACAACUAGUCCUUGUUUGCUGCUAGCCUGUCAUACAUUAAGAAAUAAUCAAUGGUUGCAAUUAAGGACUAAAGAAAGAAAAGAGUAAAAGAAAAAAGAGCUAAAUAAGGAAAAUAGCUAAUCCUUACUUGCUGCUAGCCUGUCAUACGUUAAGACCUAGCGCCAUGAAUGUAGAGUUCGGAUUUACAAGAAAAUUCUUCAUGGUAA
rnacentral:lncRNA from 1 species